AUUUGGUGAUGGGGGCACUUGAUGCAUAAUUUCUUAAACUGCUCCCAGUAGUCAUAAUGUGACUCCCCUGGGUGCUGCUUGAUACCACAGAUCUCCUUUCUUAGACU